GGUGUUGCAAAACGGUCUCAUCACGGUUGUAUUCUAAGAUUCAAAAAUCGCAUAAAACCGUUACACAUUACGGACGAUUUUUGAGUUAAGGAAAAAGAUCAAAUCUCGACUCCGUGAAUUCGUCUAAACGUUGUAAGUCUUUAUAUUAUCGGUUAUAUGCUUUUUUGUUUAGUAAUUUUCAAUCAGGAUUUUCGCGGUCCUACAAUGAGUACGUUACUUGCCUUGACGUCGCAGUGAACGAGUCCUCGCGAGUGGACGUGGCGGAGAGCGGAGAUGAGACACGCCGCGUAACGCCGUAGGAGAGUCUCGUCGAUUCCGUUUUUAGCCGCGUCACCUUCUGGGAGAUACUCUAAGUGGAGGUUGCGAAACGAC
rnacentral:lncRNA from 1 species